UGUUUUCGUUGGCUAGAGAUUAGUGAAUGUCAAGAUUAAGUGUUGCCCGCUUGUGAGACGGAAGCCGGGCGACUGAUUCACCGCCAUGUCUGAGUCCUAUGCAUUGCCUGUUGGGCGGAGGCCGGGUAUGGUAUGGUCAGAUACAACAAGUGAGUCGUCGGAGAGAAAAUGGAAGUCGAUGUCCCCCAGUCAAGUCCAUGACCUGAACCAUGUCGGGGAGACGGAUGAAGCGCCGUCGUGCACGCUGUAGCUUCUUCAUGGCGGCUUGGUGCUGCUUUAUCCGGCUAUCCCCGCGAUUCGUGGACACCGUCGCCACCUGCACGGCCAGAGGUUUCUCCUCCCAAAUGCUCUCCACCCUCUUCUUCGUCCCCUCCCAGUCCCCUCUUCCUAGCUACAGCUCCUUCAGUCCAAUCGAUUAGUUCAAUGAGUUGAGAUGGCUGGAGAGGUGACUGUAUCCGGUUCACUCCCCUGUUCCAUGGACGUGCUAUGGUCUGUGAGGUUGUGCGAGUUAGCUAGCCAUUUUGAGUGGAGUUGAGUGCUGGAAGAAGGGAUUGGAGAAUACAGUAAAAAAUGUGUGUUUCGUCGUACUGAUUCUUUUCUAAUUCUUCAAUUCUCCUUUGUGAUUGAGUAGAUUCCUUUUAAGAGUUAAAACUUUACAAUGCUAACAUGAUAUUGGGAAAGCAAAAUAUUUUUUAAGCAUCUACGCCUAAUGUGGUUUACUUCUUCUUUACGCCUUGCGGAUGGUUAAGAUGUUGGACAUUCUGUUCUUGCAGAAUACCUCUCCCUUUGAGGAUUUCAUUUUGAGAGGCUUGAUGGUAGUACAAGAGAUGGAACAUUUUAAUGCUCCUGAAAGUGACGACUUCUGUUUCCUUUUAUCCACACGUGCUAGAGGACUUGGUAUUAAUCUUGCAACUGUAGAUACAGUGAUAAUUUUUUAGUCCAAUUGGAAUCCGCAAAAUGAUCUGCAGGAUUGUCCAACAGGAAACUGUUAAUAUCUACCGCUUCGUCACAUGCAAAAGUGUUGAAGAGGAUAAUUUGGAACACACAAAGACAAAGAUGGUUCUUGAUCACUUGGAAUGAGGAAAGACUGAACUGAGCGUUAUGUUCGGCAGCAGAUAGCACUAGCAAGGCACGCCAGCCCUCUCCUCCCCUCCCAAUGUACUCCCUCAUUGCCAUUCGAAACAAAAGUUUUUUUCAUUCAAAUCUCAUCUCGAAUAUAUAAUCUAUUUCUAAAUAAACAGCUUAACAAACAAAAUAUGUUCUAAUUGUUAUUCCCUGCGUUUUAGUUCAAAAGUGAACUAGCAAUCUACAGAGACAACAGUUUUUUUUUAAAAAAAAGGCAACGUCGAAGUAGACAGCUAGCAUGUGAAGCAGACCAGGCUGCUAGAAUCGUGAUAGUCUUGUUCUUUAUAUACACAAGGGGCAAAAAGGGAACUUGCGAGUGAGUAGCCGAGUAGUACGUCGGCAGGAACCGUGCUGCUCAUGGCCUCGCUCUAAUCCAAAUCCGAAUCAUUAGCACGUCUGGAAUCAUACGAGUUUGAAAAGAAAGACCACGCAUGAAUGAUGAAGGGCGAAUUACGCGUAGGCCUGGUUCGGUGCAUCAAUAAGUGUUGAGGUAAAUUGAGAUAUAAAUUAAAUUAAUUUAUAUUAUAAUUCAUCUUAGGCUAUUUGGAUA